GGCUCAGAUUCAGGUUAAAUUGCGGAUUGAGCUCGCAGUUACAGACAGCUGACCAUGGAAGCGAACGGGUUAGGCCUCCAGCCUAGCAUACUGACACCUACCCCCACCCCAACCUGAUCGCCAGACCUCAGGGUUUUCCAGAGCUGAAGAAUGACACAUUCCUGCGAGCAGCCUGGGGAGAGGAAACAGACUACACUCCCGUUUGGUGCAUGCGCCAGGCAGGCCGUUACUUACCAGAGUUUAGGGAAACCCGGGCUGCCCAGGACUUUUUCAGCACGUGUCGCUCUCCUGAGGCCUGCUGUGAACUGACUCUGCAGGUGAGGGGUCCACAAAAGAGGGAAAGAUUUAUGCCUUCAGUCUUCCACCUAGCAACCUGUCUCCUGUUUCCUACAGCCACUGCGUCGCUUCCCUCUGGAUGCUGCCAUCAUUUUCUCCGACAUCCUUGUUGUACCCCAGGUACCCACUCAAACCUAAUCCUGGAAUAUAAUCCAAGGACCCCUUGCAAAUCCUUCUAUCAGUCCAGUCAAGGUUUACAAUAAGCACUUAUCCUAACUGGAUUGAG
rnacentral:sRNA from 1 species